GAGCCUGAGUCUGGGGCCCACAGCAGGCCAGGCACAACUCUGCCACUCCCCAGGGAAGGAGAUGACUUUUAUCAUCAGUACAUGUCACAAGAAAACAUUUAAAAUGACACUGAAACAAUCAUUGAAAUCAUGGUGCAUGGAGGAAAAAGCCACUUCUCGACAUGGUCUGCACAUACAGUAGAUACAUUCAUUAUUGUCCAAGGGAAGACAGUAACUGCCUUUCAUUUUAAAGAGCUUGGUGGAGAGGCUGAAGAAAUGUGCUGCAGCUGAAGCUACCUUUCCCCCAAGCACAGGAGGCCUCAGCUCCUGAAGCUCUGAAUUUACAGUACACAGUAGCAGACGGCUUGCCCUUUGGAAGGCUCCAUGGAAAGAAGGCUCAUCCCUGACUUGGGGCAACUUGACCGAAGUUUCUACUCUCCAGAAUCUCUUUUCUGUGGUCACCCGACUGGCAAGUGGAAGAUGGAAGCACCAAGGUUCCUGCAAAAGAUAGAUCAAGAC
rnacentral:lncRNA from 1 species